CACUGAAUCCUUCUCCUCACCGUGGAAAAGCUGGAGCCGGCAGGUCGGUGAAGACUAAACACGCUUACAGCUCAUUCAAGUGCCGCCAGUGUGUUUUUGGAGUAUUUCUUCUUUCUAUUUCAUCUUUCAUCUGAGGAAAGCCUCACCGAGCCAUGAGAUUCAAUCAAAAUAUCUUAAUUUGUGUUCUGAAGAUGAACGAAGGCAUUACGGGUGUAGAACAACAUGAGGAUGGAGUCCAAGAAGUUCCUCCUGUGUGCUGUGAGAAAGAACCAUGUAUCACGUACCGCCACUGAUGAAGACAUUACAAAACACACAAUACGAUGGUUCAGCCUGGCAGCUGAUAGGGGAAGCUCCAGGAACCGUCCCACUGUGAGCACCCAACAGUAGAGUUUCAGAGUAUCAUUGGCUACGUUUACAUGCACCGAUUUUCAUCAAUCUGAAUUAAUUGAAUCUGAUUGCAGAUCUGUUUACAUGUAUUAUAAACAUUGUAAUCUGAUUCAAAUAUCCGUUUAUAUUUGUUUUAUAUACAUUCCGAUUUUGACUUUGACGUCAUAUCAAUCACACUUGCGGUAACCCAGGUUGCGUCAACAG